GACGUAGGGCGCGAGCGUUGUCCGGAUUUAUUGGGCGUAAAGAGCUCGUAGGCGGCUUGUCACGUCGGCUGUGAAAACCCGCGGCUCAACCGUGUGGUCUGCAGUCGAUACGGGCAGGCUAGAGUUCGGUAGGGGAGACUGGAAUUCCUGGUGUAGCGGUGAAAUGCGCAGAUAUCAGGAGGAACACCGAUGGCGAAGGCAGGUCUCUGGGCCACUACUGACGCUGAGAAGCGAAAGCAUGGGGAGCGAACAGG
rnacentral:rRNA from 1 species